UACGUAGGGGGCAAGCGUUGUCCGGAAUUAUUGGGCGUAAAGCGCGCGCAGGCGGUUGCUUAAGUCUGGUGUAUAAGUGCGGGGCUCAACCCCGUGAGGCACUGGAAACUGGGCAGCUUGAGUGCAGAAGAGGAGAGCGGAAUUCCACGUGUAGCGGUGAAAUGCGUAGAGAUGUGGAGGAACACCAGUGGCGAAGGCGGCUCUCUGGUCUGUAACUGACGCUGAGGCGCGAAAGCGUGGGGAGCGAACAGG
rnacentral:rRNA from 1 species